UGUCCAGUAGCACCUUAGAGACCAACUAAGUUUGUUCUUGGUAUAAGCUUUCGUGUGCAUACACACUUCUUCAGAAGCUUAUACUAAGAACAAACUUAGUUGGUCUCUAAGGUGCUACUGGACA